rnacentral:lncRNA from 1 species
UGUGAGCUACCAUCAAUUCCCAAGGGGAACCUGUGCAGAGGUCCUAGGGUCUACCAAGAUUCAAGCCAGCUCUGCUCUCCAGCAGCUGAGUGACCUUGACCUGGUUCUGAUCCUUAUUUAGCAUGUGUUUCCGUUUCCUCCUCUGUAAGCGAGGCAAGAACGGGGAUUAAAUGAAAUCUUGUUCUGGAAGGGUAGGAGGCUCACCACACCCCAACCUGGAUUGGCUUCUGUCCCAGGAACAGCUGUUAAAGGCUUGAUCUGGGGCUUCGGUGUGGCCUGGUCUCCCACUUCCUGCCCCUGGGGUGGUUGGACUUAGCUCUUCUGGCUCUUUUCCAGCUCUGGGGACAGGAAACUGAACCCAGUUCUGGCCUAAUUGCCCUCCCUUUUCCUCCUUACUGGAGUCCUGUACAGCUGUGUGUGUGUGUGUGUGUGAGGGGGUGAGGCUCUGGUUCCUGGAAUUCCCAGCCUCAGUUAUUUGUCUAGCGCAGAAUUCAGCCUGAAAUGUCACUUUAGGCUUUGAGCCAUUUGCUUGUCCCUCUACGUGAGGACAGGGUGGAAGAGCCACAGUUGAAUCCUGGUAUUUCUGGGUCCCCUGAAUCUUACCUGUACCGUCAAUGGCAGAAAA